GGCAAUAAAAUAUAAACCAUUAUAUAGUGGUAGUCUUAAUUAUUUAGAGAAACUCGCUUUAUAAUCGUAAAUACCCGAUAAUUUUAACUUUAUAAAAAAGUUUAUAUACCGCCGUUACGUGGACAAACAAUAAAAAACAACCCUAAUCCUUCACCAAAACUUAAAAUCAGGUCAAGGUGUAACCUUUAAUAAAGAAAAAGUAAGUUACAUUAAAAAUAAUUUAAGGAAAAAAGAUAAAAACUAAUUAGAAAAAGAAUUUAUUAGUACAUAAUAAUCAAAAACUAAUAUAGAUUAAUAUAAUAAA
rnacentral:rRNA from 1 species